GCCAGCAAAGACUGAUCAAGGAUAGUCUGAUGGUCACCAAAGAGGUAGAUAGUAGUUCAGCAUUGCUCUCUGGUUGUGAUAGGAUGAUUAAUUUGCCUGAUAACAGCUGGGAAGAAACUGCCCCUGAAGCUGGAGGCGUGUGUUUUCACACUUC